rnacentral:rRNA from 1 species
ACGCAAUAGAUACCCGGGUAGUCCACGCCCUAAACGAUGUCUACUAGUUGUCGGGUCUUAAUUGACUUGGUAAACGCAGCUAAACGCGUGAAGUAGACCGCCUGGGGAGUACGGUCGCAAGAUUAAAACUCAAAGGAAUUGACGGGGACCCGCACAAGCGGUGGAUGAUGUGGAUUAAUUCGAUGCAACGCGAAAAACCUUACCUACCCUUGACAUGGAUGGAAUCCCUGAGAGAUCGGGGAGUGCUCGAAAGAGAACCAUUACACAGGUGCUGCAUGGCUGUCGUCAGCUCGUGUCGUGAGAUGUUGGGUUAAGUCCCGCAACGAGCGCAACCCUUGUCAUUAGUUGCUACGAAAGGGCACUCUAAUGAGACUGCCGGUGACAAACCGGAGGAAGGUGGGGAUGACGUCAAGUCCUCAUGGCCCUUAUGGGUAGGGCUUCACACGUCAUACAAUGGUACAUACAGAGGGCCGCCAACCCGCGAGGGGUAGCUAAUCCCAGAAAGUGUAUCGUAGUCCGGAUUGUAGUCUGCAACUCG